rnacentral:tRNA from 1 species
GGGGUUGUGGCUCAGUGGUAGAGCACUUGCCUGGCAUAUGAGAGACACUAGAUUCAAUCCUUAGCACCACCA